CCCAGGCUCAAAAACAUUUGUAGUCUGAGGUAGUGAUAAAAUAAAUAAUUUUAUUAAAUGAUAAAUGAACAAAGAUAUUUCUAAAUGGAAAAAUGAAGAUAAAGUUUUCUAUCAAAUAUGGUUUAUUUACAAUAUAAGUAAAAACAAAGAAAAAUAUAUAGCACUAAAGGAAAAAAAACUAAAGAAAAAGUUUUUGUUGUAAACUUGUUCUGAUUUGUGAUAUUGAUCUGCACUGCACAACUGGGCAGCCAGUUGCGUGUAAGUAGGUCACGCUGACCCCGCCCUAGGCAGGAGCUGCUGGAAAGGGGAAAGAUAGAGAGCAUGAGAACUGAAGCAUGAGCCACAUGUUGCUCAAAUCUUUGAUAAAGUUUGGAUUUUUUUUGAGAGGUUUAUUCGAGAAAUACACCUGGGAGAUAAAACUGCCAUCCGGUCAUCAUCCGGUGAAAAUCUGAAGGAGAUAAAAAGAUAUUUUUGUUAUAUGAGGGAAUCGGCCAGUUUUGUUAUCUGAGAAAUCAGAUUCUGGAUCUCUUUACUGUGGACUGCAUUAAUCUGGAACUUCGAAUGUGCAUAGUGUGAGAUGGCGAGCCACCAUGAGACACCUACUUUUCUUCUGUUGAUAUCUGCGUUGCGAUUUCUACAAAUUGUUUCACUGGAUUAUUGAAGGUUUGAUUAUUGAAGCACUGGAACAUUCAUUCUAAGGAACUGAAGAAAGAGAAAUUAUAAAUCUCAUUUGAACUUAUAUACUUGAUUUUUGCGCCUUGUUGAACUAUACACUCCAAGGAGUUUCUUGGUAUUUGAGUUUAUUUCGUAAAUUAUACGAAUUGUUACUCUACUUUUAGAGUUGGUUUGCUUUCUUUUACAUUCCUUUUAUUUUAAUUUGUUUAUAUUGUGAUAUUGUCAUACUAAAAUUUUCUUUUCUUUGGUAACAAUUAUAA